GAUGAACGCUGGCGGCGUGCCUAAUACAUGCAAGUCGAGCGAACGGACGAGAAGCUUGCUUCUCUGAUGUUAGCGGCGGACGGGUGAGUAACACGUGGAUAACCUCCCUAUAAGACUGGGAUAACUUCGGGAAACCGGAGCUAAUACCGGAUGAUAUUUUGCACCGCAUGGUUCAAAAGUGAAAGACGGUCUUGCUGUCACUUCUAGAUGGAUCCGCGCUGCAUUAUCUAGUUGGUAAGGUAACGGCUUACCAAGGCAACGAUGCAUAGCCGACCUGAGAGGGGGAUCGGCCACACUGGAAGGGAGACACGGUCCAGACGCCGAAGGGAGGCAGCAGUAGGGAAUCUUACGCAAUGGGCGAAAGCCUGACGGAGCAACGCGGAGUGAGUGAUGAAGGUGUGCGGAUCGGAAAACUCUGUUAUUAGGGAAGAACAUAUGUGUAAGUAACUGUGCAGAUCUUGACGGUACCUAAUCAGAAAGCCACGGCUAACUACGUG
rnacentral:rRNA from 1 species